AAUGAACGUUGGCGGCGUGGAUUAGGCAUGCAAGUCGAGCGAGAACCCCGCAAGGGGGGACAGCGGCGAAAGGGACAGUAAUGUGUAGAUUAUCUGCCCUCAGGUCCGGGAUAGCUGCGGGAAACUGCAGGUAAUACCGGAUAACAUCUCCGGAUCAAAGGUGUGAUUCCGCCUGAGGAUGAGUCUGCAUCCUAUUAGCUAGUUGGUGGGGUAAUGGCCUACCAAGGCAUUGAUGGGUAGCAGGUGUGAGGGCACGACCUGCGUCAUUGGGACUGAGACACUGCCCAGACACCUACGGGUGGCUGCAGUCGAGAAUCUUCGGCAAUGGGCGCAAGCCUGACCGAGCGACGCCGCGUGUGGGAUGAAGGCCUUCGGGUUGUAAACCACUGUCAGAGGGGAUGAAAUGCAGGUGGGUUCUCCCAUCUGUUUGACAUAGCCUCAGAGGAAGGACGGGCUAAGUUCGU
rnacentral:rRNA from 1 species